GACGAACGCUGGCGGCGUGCCUAACACAUGCAAGUCGAACGGAAAGGCCCUGCUUUCGUGGGCUGCUCGAUUGGCGAUCGGGUGCGUAAGACGUGAGUAACCUGCUCUAGACUUUCGGAUAACUUCAGGAAACUAGGGCUAAUAUCGGAUAGGAGCUCCUGCUGCAUGGUGGGGGUUGGAAAUUCUCGGCGGUUGGGGAUGGACUCGCGGCUUAUCAGCUUGUUGGUGGGGUAGUGGCUUACCAAGGCUGUGACGGGUAGCCGGCCUGGGAGGGUGACCGGGCACAGUGGGACUGAGGUACGGCCCAGACGGCUACGGGGGGCAGCGGUGGGGAAUAUUGCACAGUGGGCGGAAGCCGGAUACAACGACGCCGCGUGCGGGAUGACGGCCUUCGGGGUGUAAACCGCUUUAGCCUGUGACGAAGCGUGAGUGACGGUAAUGGGUAAAGAAGCACCGGCUAACUACGUG
rnacentral:rRNA from 1 species